GAUGAAGAACGUAGCGAAACGCGAUAGGUAAUGUGAAUUGCAGAAUUCCGUGAAUCAUCGAAUCUUUGAACGCACAUUGCGCCCGCCAGUAUUCUGGCGGGCAUGCCUGUUCGAGCGUCAUUUCAACCAUCAAGCCCCAGGCUUGUGUUGGGGACCUGCGGCUGCCGCAGGCCCUGAAAACCAGUGGCGGGCUCGCUGUCACACCGGGCGUAGUAGAUUUUAUCUCGCUCAGGGCGUGCUGCGGGUUCCGGCCGUUAAAAAGCCUUUUUUACCCAAGGUUGACCUCGGAUCAGGUAGGAAGACCCGCUGAACUUAAGCAUAUCAAUAAGCGGAGGA
rnacentral:misc_RNA from 1 species